rnacentral:rRNA from 1 species
ACGAACGCUGGCGGCGUGCUUAACACAUGCAAGUCGAACGGAAAGGCCCCUUUGGGGGUACUCGAGUGGCGAACGGGUGAGUAACACGUGAGUAACCUGCCCUUGACUUCGGGAUAACUUCAGGAAACUGGGGCUAAUACCGGAUAGGAAUCCUUGCUGCAUGGUGGGGGUUGGAAAGCUUCGGCGGUUUUGGAUGGACUCGCGGCUUAUCAGCUUGUUGGUGGGGUAGUGGCUUACCAAGGCUUUGACGGGUAGCCGGCCUGAGAGGGCGACCGGCCACAUUGGGACUGAGAUACGGCCCAGACUCCUACGGGAGGCAGCAGUGGGGAAUAUUGCACAAUGGGCGGAGGCCUGAUGCAGCAACGCCGCGUGCGGGAGGACGGCCUUCGGGUUGUAAACCGCUUUCAGCAGGGGCGAAGCUUGUGGUGACGGUACCUGCAGAAGAAGCACCGGCUAACUACGUG